UACAGAGGGUGCGAGCGUUAAUCGGAAUUACUGGGCGUAAAGCGCACGUAGGCGGCUUGGUAUGUCGAGUGUGAAAUCCCCGGGCUCAACCUGGGAACUGCAUCCGAAACUGCCUUGCUCGAGUAUGGGAGAGGGAAGUGGAAUUUCCGGUGUAGCGGUGAAAUGCGUAGAUAUCGGAAGGAACAUCAGUGGCGAAGGCGACUUCCUGGACCAAUACUGACGCUCAGGUGCGAAAGCGUGGGAAGCAAACAGG
rnacentral:rRNA from 1 species